rnacentral:rRNA from 1 species
CCUGCGGAAGGAUCAUUACUGAGUGAGGGUUCCCUCCAAGGGGCCCAACCUCCCACCCGUGUUUACUUGUACUUUGUUGCUUCGGCGAGCCCACCAAGGGGGUUAUCACCCCUGGUCGCUUGGGACGGAGGUAGCUCCGACCCGGGCCUGUUGCUCGCCGGAGGUCUUAACUACGAACCCUGAUCUCGAAUAGAAUGGUGUCUGAGUUGAUGAUGUACAAUCGUUAAAACUUUCAACAACGGAUCUCUUGGUUCCGGCAUCGAUGAAGAACGCAGCGAAAUGCGAUAAGUAAUGUGAAUUGCAGAAUUCCGUGAAUCAUCGAAUCUUUGAACGCACAUUGCGCCCUCUGGUAUUCCGGGGGGCAUGCCUGUCCGAGCGUCAUUUUCUCCCCUCAAGCACGGCUUGUGUGUUGGGUACGGUCCCUCCGUCAGCGCGCCACCCUUCGUGGGGGCGGGCGGUUCGGGAGGGGACCGGCCUAAAAGGCAGCGGCGGCGUCGCGUCUGACCCUGAAGUGUCUGGGGCUCUGUCACACACUUUUGGAGGGUCGGUCGGUGGGCUUGCCCGUGAAUCUUUUCAUGAUGGACCUCGGAUCAGGUAGGGAUACCCGCUGAACUUAAGCAUAUCAAUAAGGCGGGAGGA